UCCCUGGUGGCUCAGAUGGUAAAGCAUCUGCCUGCAAUGCAGGAGACUUGGGUUUGAUUCCUGGGUUGGGAA
rnacentral:tRNA from 1 species